UGGGGAAUAUUGCACAAUGGGCGCAAGCCUGAUGCAGCCAUGCCGCGUGUAUGAAGAAGGCCUUCGGGUUGUAAAGUACUUUCAGCGGGGAGGAAGGGAGUAAAGUUAAUACCUUUGCUCAUUGACGUUACCCGCAGAAGAAGCACCGGCUAACUCCGUGCCAGCAGCCGCGGUAAUACGGAGGGUGCAAGCGUUAAUCGGAAUUACUGGGCGUAAAGCGCACGCAGGCGGUUUGUUAAGUCAGAUGUGAAAUCCCCGGGCUCAACCUGGGAACUGCAUCUGAUACUGGCAAGCUUGAGUCUCGUAGAGGGGGGUAGAAUUCCAGGGGUAGCGGUGAAAUGCGUAGAGAUCUGGAGGAAUACCGGUGGCGAAGGCAGCCCCCUGGACGAAGACUGACGCUCAGGUGCGAAAGCGUGGGGAGCAAACAGG
rnacentral:rRNA from 1 species